GACAGAGGGUGCAAACGUUGCUCGGAAUUACUGGGCGUAAAGCGUGCGCAGGCGGUGAUGUAAGACAGAUGUGAAAUCCCCGGGCUCAACCUGGGACCUGCAUUUGUGACUGCAUCGCUAGAGUACGGUAGAGGGGGAUGGAAUUCCGCGUGUAGCAGUGAAAUGCGUAGAUAUGCGGAGGAACACCGAUGGCGAAGGCAAUCCCCUGGACCUGUACUGACGCUCAUGCACGAAAGCGUGGGGAGCAAACAGG
rnacentral:rRNA from 1 species